GGCGGUGUCCACUGUGGUCCUCAGGCUCCCUCCCUCCCUCCCUGUGUGGCAGUGGCCCUCGGGCAAGCCUCUCUCACAGUCUCUGGCCCGUUGCCAUCUCGGUCAGUGGGGGACACAUCCAUCCCAAAAGGUCCAGGGGCUCGGGCACGGGACGCCCUGCCCUGAUCCUGUUCCUUUCUCCACCCCGCCCCGCCCCCAAUUGGCGUCGUGGCUGAGGCACGCUGCUUGUGAGUGGCGUCCCUUUGUCGUUUACAUUCUGAUGCAGUCUGCAAUCAGCGUGGGCUUCAGCUCCUCUGAUUAGCGGCUCUUGAAGGGAUUCUUCAGAGUCAGCAAGAACAGCCGCCUCGUCACCGUCCGGCAUCUGCUGCUCCUGGCUCGGGGGACGCACAUCUGCAUUCAAGAACUCGGCCACCGUUGGGCUGUGUGGACUCUCCUCUCAUCUGACCCCCAGUGGUACCUGUCUGGUUCCGGGCGUCAUGGGAUACCCGGGCUCCAUGAGGGACAGGGCACUACUACCACCCAGUCCCUGCCAGUCGCCCUUGUCUCUUCAAACGGAUUUGCACUGGACUUGCCCAUAUUCUGGGAUGUUUGCGACAUCAUACUGCCAUGGACCAGCCGGACAAGGAGAUUUGACCCCACAGGCAGAACAGUGGAUGAUGGGACCUCGCUAUUAGGAAAUACGUGCAGAGAGAAAGACUGAGAUUAUCUACAAGAUGCGCUGAUGUCGUAAGCUCUCCUAGGAAGGAGAAAAGUCGACUUAGACCAGAAUCACCUCAACAGUCGGACUCAGCAGACAGCGCCAUCGGCAAUGCCCCCUCUCCUCGUUGACGCAGAACUGACUCUUCCAACGGCACAGACGCCUGGACUGCUGCUCUGUACAUUAGAGAUCUCACUCGUUAGGAAGAAGUGGCAUAAUUACUGCCCCUCGGAAAUUUUAAGUAUGACUUAAUUGUCCUUUGAGCUCAAACGCCGAACCAAACUGGCUCCACACUAGUUUUUAUGCUCCCGAGCAAUUUAAACCUUUUAUUAGAGCCUCAGGAAAUCACUUUUCAACUGCCCUCUUUAUUCCUUCUAGGAUUUAUGCAGCUUUUUUUUUUUAUUAGUUUUAAUUCGUAUGGUAUUCGGUAUUCUGAAACUUUGAAGCAACCUGAGACAUGAGGCCUGUGGUCGCCCUGAGGACCAGAGGCUCGGUGGCCGAGGGACCUGCUGAGAAACCGGAAAGGCCAUCCCAGGAUCAGACGCCCCGUUCAGAAGUGCAAGGAAAAGAUUCUUGGCAAGAGAAGAAGGGAAUUUGAACGGACAGAGCAGGUGUUUCACAUACAUGACUCAUUCCACUAGGAAGCCCACUCAGGAUUAAAUCCACAUGGAUCCCAGGCUAUUGGCAAAGAUGGGGGCUGCCCUGGGGCUUUGAGGUGAGGACCUACCAGGCAGACUGGCCACUCAGCCCUCCCUUCCCGGCCUGUAUCUCUUAGCUCUGCACGUGCACAUUUAUUUGUGGUUCUGUCCCCGGGAGUGCCAUGGCACUCUUCCUUCCGCGCUGGGUCUGGGGUGCGGAUGGGGGUGCAGCGGUGGUCAGCGUGGCCCUUGGGAUGGGAGGGCAUCACAGGCAGGCUUGUCUCAGCCAGCGUAGCAGGUUCCCUCAUGUAUCUUCUCUUUCCACCUUUGGAGAUGUUUCUGUAGAUGAAGAAUUAAAAC
rnacentral:lncRNA from 12 species